rnacentral:lncRNA from 1 species
UAAAGCUCUUUUUGAAGAUACAUCCAUUCCCAAUCAAAAACACCGUGUUUCUAGUUAUAUUUCUUCAUGGCAGAAGUUUGCCCGUGCAACACUGUUAUAAGCUUAGCAAGAAAUUUUCUCGGUCCCCUCUUAAACAUAUGUGAACAAAAUAAGCUACUAAUCUCCUCUUAAAUCAGACCAAUGCUCCCUUGAUCAAUAAUCGGAGCACUCCUGCACAAGAACAUCAACGGCAAUCUUACUUCUUUUUAUUGGUCGCUCACCAUUUGUGUCGCCACAAUUGACGACAUCUUCGCCACACUACACCAGCUCUGGCAGCCAUGAAGGGUGGUAGAUUCCGUGGGAUUGUUGCGCAUGGUACCUGGCCAAGCUGCUCACUCCAACCAUGAAAGCGACCACCUGCUGCAAACAUUGAAUGGUCAUUAUGUGUUGCAAAGCAACUCGAGCACAUAUGUAUCGGUUGAAGUUUCAUGGCUGUAGUGGCGAAAAAUAGUCUUAGUUGUUGCAUAGAACAAGAAGGAUCUGAUGUUUCAAUAUCGAGCAAAAUAGUGCACUAUCCUCACCAGUAUCGAGCAACAUAUUUUCUCUCACAUUCUCUAUUGGUUUGAAAGCAUGGUUGGCUGAAUACUCCUAGACCAGGGUUUGAAAUAUUCUACAAAGGUAGUUUUAAAGAAUCUUGUAAUGAUGCGUGAACACAUCAGAUUGUCAAAAAUAAUUACAGUACACAUAAGCAGGCAAGGAACCAUGCCAUGAUUUCUGAUCUUCUGUAUAUACUUCCAAUUUUGGACAAAUGGAAGGCAAUAAUUGCGUUCAGAAACCAAUUUAUAAAAAAGGGAAGACAAUGUGGAAUUCACACUUCAGUCGUUACAGGUGAAGAAUGAUUACCUAUAUAUCUACAUCUGAGGUCUAUAAUCAGAAACAAUGAAACUGCCGCUACAUUGGAAACAUGUUGUAGAUAAUGAAUCUAACCUAGGAAUACAUAAUAUAACAAAUAUCCUAUAUGCUUUUGUUUGCAUAUUUCUCAUUUCUAUUGAGUCGGAUUUUAAAAUCAUUUCUUAAAGUGGAAACCCGCAUAAAAGAGGACUGGUAGGUAUAAAAGUUUUGAGUUACAUAGGUGGUGGGGCAUAUUUAUAACAAGUCAUAACUAAUACAUCUGUAUAAAUGUUUUCUCUACAUUCGCUCUAUAUUACAAGUGUAGCAUCUUUUACUGUUGCACAUAAUUGAAAUCUAAAUGGAAGGUCACAUCACCAAGCAUUCAACUUUUGAUUGAUAAGCACUAAGUCGAGAGCCAAGCAAUAUGCAAAAAUGGGAACCAUAAUCUCAAAAAUUGUUUAUCACCCUCGUCCAUCUCGAUGAAAGAUUAAAUAACUAUAGAAAAUAUAGAUGGUACUAAAUCUCUUACCAUGACAUCACAAGCUCAACGAUGGCACACAUGAGCGACUAAGCUGAUGAUUACUGUAUACCAUGCAGAUUGUAGACUUCCGGAAUUAACUCCAUGAGCUGGUAAACAAAACAUAACAUGUGUGUCCUAAUUCCUAAAUUGGCGUUGAAGGCCUAUAAUGAUUAGAGGACCAGUCCUCUUCUUAUAGUUCUACCUACAGGGAUCCAAUAUGCUUUUGUUUCUUCUAUAAUAAAUAUCCUAUAUGCGUACAUACAUCCGAUUCACAAAAAAGUUAGAACAUCUUAUAUUUGUGAACGGAGGGAGUACUUCAGAUCUAGCCAACAGCAGGAUAAAUCAUGGCAAUAUUUUGUAUGGACAGGUUUGAUAGCGAUCAAAACAUACCCAAUAUGCAUAACCUUAGGCCUGCGAUCCAAACGCAUCCAAACGCCCGAG